rnacentral:rRNA from 1 species
GAUUUCUGGUAUGGUGCGCCUGGCCCACGGUUGCAAAACCGCGAGUGUCGGUGUGCGCCUGCCAUCUUUCUAGUUAACUGGACGCACUUAACUGGGCGGUCAGCGAUCUAGUUCUUUUACUUUGAAAAAAUUAGAGUGUUUAAAGCAGGCUUUUUGCUAUGAAUACAUUAGCAUGGAAUAAUAAUUUAGGACUUUGGCCCUAUUUUGUUGGUUUCUAGGACUGAAGUAAUGAUUGAUAGGGAUAGUUGGGGGUGCUCGAAUUCAGCGGCCAGAGGUGAAAUUCUUGGAUUCGCUGAAGACGAACUCAUGCGAAAGCAUU